rnacentral:rRNA from 1 species
AGAGUUUGAUCAUGGCUCAGGAUGAACGCUAGCGGGAGGCCUAAUACAUGCAAGUCGAGCGGUAGAUCACUUCGGUGGUUGAGAGCGGCGCACGGGUGAGUAACGCGUACAUGACCUACCUUUAAGACCGUGAUAGCCCUGGGAAACUGGGAUUAAUAACGGAUGUGAUAUUAUGUUUAGAUGUAUAAUAUUAAAGCUGAGGCGCUUAGAGAUGGAUGUGCGUCUGAUUAGCUAGUUGGUGAGGUAACGGCUCACCAAGGCAACGAUCAGUAGGGGGCGUGAGAGCGUGGCCCCCCACACGGGUACUGAGACACGGACCCGACUCCUACGGGAGGCAGCAGUAAGGAAUAUUGGUCAAUGGACGGAAGUCUGAACCAGCCAUCCCGCGUGCAGGAUUAAGGUCCUAUGGAUUGUAAACUGCUUUUGGUAGGGAAGAAACGCUUUCAUUUAUGAGAGUCUGACGGUACCUACAGAAUAGA